GCGGAAUUUCACGGUCAAACCAAACCUUCUCAAGAUACAACCUUCCUCCAAAUAAAAAUGAAACAUCCACUCAUUUCCACAUAGGAAUGAGAUCAUAAAAUCCAAAUUUGAGCAAUACUCACAAAAAAUAUAAAAACAAAUAAACUUUUUCCCAAAUGAAACAAGAAAAGAAAGAAUGAAAGGAACUGUUAAGAGAAAAAUCCAACUUACUCGUCAACAUGCCCAACCACCAG
rnacentral:misc_RNA from 1 species